UGAUAGACAAUAUAUUCAAAGUGGUGAUCUCAUAACAGGUUCCUGUGGUCUCCUGAUGCUGGCUUGGGUGGUCAAGACAAGAUUACUGAUAUGCAGUUCACAGAAACUCUGCUGUUGCUAUCGCUCUCUGUUGGAACGGGCUGUUGCUCUCUUGACUCUCGGAACUUCACAGUGACCCGGUAUGAGCAGCACAUUGAUUCUCCGGGAUAUCCUCAUCACACAUGGAGAUCAGAGCGGAAGGUGCUUACCUUCACUGCCUUGGAUGAUGACAGCCACAUGGCAUUUUAUAUUACUGGCGACUUUGGACAACAGGGCGACUGCUCUGGAACUCAAAAUGCUGCAGCGAUAACAUUCAAGAAGUAACUGGCCGAGGGGAAGAAGGCAAGCCGAUCUGUGGUACAGGAGACUACAUGUAUGAGAGUCAUGGUUCUUGUGUUGUCACUGCAGUCAUAGCUGAAGGGAUGGAGGAGAAAUUCCGUAUAACAUAUACACUAAAAUCUAACAGAUGCGUAGAGACGUUGUUUGCCUACCCAAAUGAAUCCAACAUUUCAUCGCCUGAUAUCGCCUGGAAUAUGAGGUACAAGACCAUUGUCCCAUAGAAAAUACAAUGCAAUACCUACAACACAAUGGUGUGUCAUGGAAUAUGUCAUACACCGUAUGAUAACCCAUCUCCUCUUUACAUCAAUGUUCUACCAAUCUUAGAAUUAGUAAAGUAGAAUUAUAUGUGUGAGCCAAAUCAUUAUUAUAAGAGCAUAACUACACUGGUGAGUGAGUGUGUUUGGUUUAACGCCGCUUUAAAUAAUAUUUCAUUCAUGUCACAGCAUGUAUGUAUGAUGUGGGAGGAAGCUCGAAGUGAUGUAGGUAUAACAUGUAGACGUUUUUCACUUUGAACCCACGAGCACGGGUAUGGUUUUGGCAAACCUGGAAACAAAACGGGGAGAAUAUGGUAUACUUACCACAAGCAAACCUAAGGUAUGCAACUAAGCAUAGCGAAUUGCGGCGCCUUUUACGACUGAGCUACCCUUGGCCCUGUGAUAACAAAACACAUUGUUGCAUUGCUCUUAUGAUGAAAAUAAAAAUAUCACAUUUUCGCCGGUACCAGGGAGUCUAUAUAUCUUUGUAUAGCCCCCCUUCUGGUACGAAGCAUUCUUGUAUGGAGAAAAUGUGUUCUCAUUGUUAUAUUUGUAAAGGAAUGCAGUAUUACUUUGAACAUAUUUGUUGAUUUCAUAAAGUGUAUUCCAUUGACCCAAUGUCUAUAUUUUUUAAUAUCAAAGCCGGUGUCAGUGGAAUAUCGUUGCGGGCUAUGGCUAUGUUUUCCAAGUCCGUGUGUUGCUGUCAAACAUAUCUUGUUAUGGAAACCAUGUUGAUGUUGAUUUUGGUAAGUAACUUCCAUGGUUUUUCGAUUGACUUCACGUUCCAACGAUCUGAAAACUGUAACAGUGUCCAUAGGUGAUUUCGAGUAAGAAUAUAGCCCUCAUGCAACAUAUGCUUGUCAGAAGCGACUACAUGGAGCCGGUUGUCAGGCUCGGAGAUUUAAUGGAUUGUGUGCCAUCGCAUCCCUGGAUUGUCUGGUCCAGACAUUUUUUCUGACCGCCGUCAUAUAGCUGAAAUAUGAUUGAGUGCGGCGUUAAAAAACAAACAAACUGUAACCGUGGUAACAUGAUGUUGAAAUCUUGUAGUAGAAUAUAUGUUUGAAGAACAAAUUAUUUAAAUUAUUGCAAUUUGCAAUUUUGUCAAUUACCCGUGAACAAAUAUAUAAUAUGGAAAUGAUCAUUUAAAGCUUUAAAUCUUCAAUAAUUUUCCCCAAGCAUUUCUAAGACAAACAUGAUCAUAAACAUAACUAUAAAUGAACUGGUGAAUUUUAUGGUAGAGUCUCCAGACUGAUUUCAUCUCGUAAUAUCUCGUUGAGUUUACACGACGUAACAGCAGCUAAAUACAUCAAUCACUCAUUUCAACUGAACAUUCAAGGCAACGGAUCAACGCAGUCCUGGUGUGGCCAACGAACGCCUUCCUAUACAUCCACCAACUCCAGGAUGAGCAUCCGUUUCAACAUGUCCAGCGUUUUUGGUGGCCAUGAUUUCACUCUUGCCUACAAGGGGAUACCUAACCACAACCGAACAACGAGUCAUUACUAGACCUCAAAGAGGCCAACAGGAGCCAUCUGGCCGCAGAGAAACACGCAGUUUGGGGCAACAGCGACACCCAAUGUGACAAGCCGACCAUGGACUACCAGGGAACCAUGGAAAUGGACGACCCGAAACCCAUGGCUGUUAAACCGACCAAGAACAACUAGUCAUUACUGGACCUCAAAGAGGCCAACAGGAGCCAUCUGGCCGCAGAGAAACACUCAGUUUGGGGCAACAGCGACACCCAAUGUGACAAGCCGACCAUGGACUACCAGGGAACCAUGGAAAUGGACGACC